rnacentral:lncRNA from 1 species
UGGGAAUGGAACCCAGGGCUUUGCACAUGCUAGGCAAGUGUUCUGCCACUGAGCUACACCCCUAACCCCUGCAUUCACUUUGAAUCCCAACUCUUACCUAAAUAUUUAAAUCAAGCAUGGGUGAGAGGUAUGAUUCAUCCUAAGGCAAAAAUUCUCUAGCUGAGAACCUGUGAAACCAGAUCAGUUUGCUGUUUCCAAAAUGAAGUGUUGGGACAGGUAUAAGAGAGAUAUUCCCAUUCCCAAAAGAAGAAAUUGGUAAGAAUAAUGAGAUCACAGGUCCCAAGUAAAUCCAAAACCUAACAGGGCAAAUUCCAUUACAUUUUAAGGCCUAAGAGAAAUCCUCUUUGGCUGGAUACUCGGUCCCCUGGCCCACCAGGGUCGGGUCAACACCUUCUGGGCCAACUAGAGCAGCAUUGUUGCUUUCUCUACCUGAUGCACUACAACUAAAACUCGUGGCCCUGCCCUCCAGAAUUGAGGAGGGCAUGGCAGUACCAUUAGGGUCACUCUUCCUUUUUUUGAAAGUUAAAAUAUAUUUACAGCCAGAAAGUUCUAUUGUUUUGUUCUGUAGAAUCUCAGAAGGUAGACAGCCUUCCUUCAUUUUAUCCCAUCUCUAUUCCCUUUAGUCCCAGCUACCUGAGUGUUUCCACUGGUAUUGCCCCACCUUUAUUCCUGAAUUCUGCUGAGACAGCAGAUUAGAUCAGUACAGCACACUCAUGAUUUCUUUAUGGAGUAAUUUUCCUGCCACACCCAUAC